UACGUAGGUGGCAAGCGUUGUCCGGAUUUACUGGGCGUAAAGAGCGCGCAGGCGGUCGGAUAAGUCGAAUGUGAAAGCCCCCGGCUCAACUGGGGAGGGGUCAGUCGAUACUGGCGGGCUCGAGGCCGGUAGGGGGAAGCGGAAUUCCGGUGUACGUGGUGGAAUGCGUAGAUAUCGGGAGGAACACCAGUGGCGAAGGCGGACUUCCUGG
rnacentral:rRNA from 1 species